UACGAAGGGGGCUAGCGUUGCUCGGAAUCACUGGGCGUAAAGCGCACGUAGGCGGAUCUUUAAGUCAGGGGUGAAAUCCCAAGGCUCAACCUUGGAACUGCCUUUGAUACUGGGGAUCUCGAGUCCGGAAGAGGUUGGUGGAACUGCGAGUGUAGAGGUGAAAUUCGUAGAUAUUCGCAAGAACACCAGUGGCGAAGGCGGCCAACUGGUCCGGAACUGACGCUGAGGUGCGAAAGCGUGGGGAGCAAACAGG
rnacentral:rRNA from 1 species